CGCCCGUCCCGUGCACUCACAAAGCUGUCGCCGCAGCCGUUGUCCGGACACAGUACGUAGAAGGAGACGCCCGGGUCGGCGUAGAAGUCCAUCCUGCGCUCCGUCUCCUCGGCGGCGAUGAGCUCAAAGGGCGUGCUGGAACACCACUUCUCCGCGACAUCUGCCAGCUGCUGGAAGUCCAUGGCGGCGCCGCCCGCGCCUCCUCCGGGGCUCACGGCUCCCGGGCAUGUUACCACCGAGCCACACCCCAACCCUGCUUGGAAAGCAAGGAGCCUGCCCGUUGACUACACCUGUUGAAUGCUCUGGCUGCUGCGUGCCCAGCAGACACACUGGUUUACAGGGAGUAGAAGAGUCCUCGUCUGAACACUUGGCUUCCGGAAGGGACACAUUAAAUA
rnacentral:lncRNA from 1 species